rnacentral:rRNA from 1 species
GAUGAACGCUAGCGGCAGGCUUAACACAUGCAAGUCGAGGGGCAGCGAGGGUAGCAAUACCUGUCGGCGACCGGCGGAAGGGUGAGUAACGCGUGAGCAACAUACCCGUAUCAGUGGGAUAAUACAGGGAAACUUGUUCUAAUAUCGCAUAAUAUUAUUCAGAGGCAUCUUUGGAUAAUUAAAGUUCCGACGGUACGGGAUGGGCAUGCGUAACAUUAGCUGGUUGGUAAGGUAACGGCUUACCAAGGCUAUGAUGUUUAGGGGUCCUGAGAGGGUGGUCCCCCACACUGGUACUGAGACACGGACCAGACUCCUACGGGAGGCAGCAGUGAGGAAUAUUGGUCAAUGGGCGCAAGCCUGAACCAGCCAUCCCGCGUGCAGGAAGACGGCCCUAUGGGUUGUAAACUGCUUUUCCAGGGAGAGAAACUUACGCACGUGUUGCGUGACUGACGGUACCCUGGGAAUAAGCAUCGGCUAACUCCGUGCCAGCAGCCGCGGUAAAACGU